rnacentral:tRNA from 1 species
GCCGGUGUGUUGGAACUGGUAGACGAGGAGGACUCAAAAUCCUUUGGGCUAAUCCCCCGUGCGGGUUCGAUUCCCGCCACCGGCACCA